rnacentral:rRNA from 1 species
ACCAGAUAACGUCUUCGGACCAAACGUGUGAACCGGCCUGAGGAGGCGACCGUGUCCUAUCAGCUAGUUGGCGGGGUAAUGGCCCACCAAGGCUACGACGGGUAUGGGGCGUGAGAGCGUGCCCCCACUCACUGGGACUGAGAUACUGCCCAGACACCUACGGGUGGCUGCAGUCGAGAAUCUUCGGCAAUGGGCGCAAGCCUGACCGAGCGACGCCGCGUGCGGGAUGAAGGCCUUCGGGUUGUAAACCGCUGUCGUAGGGGAGGAAGACGCCGUGCAGAACGGUGUUUGACCGAUCCUAGGAGGAAGGGCCGGCUAAUCUCGUGCCAGCAGCCGCGGUAAUACGAGAGGCCCAAACGUUAUUCGGAAUUACUGGGCUUAAAGAGUUCGUAGGCGGCGCAGAAAGUAGGGUGUGAAAGCCCUCGGCUCAACCGAGGAAUUGCGCUCUAAACUACUGUGCUU